CCUACGGGUGGCAGCAGUGAGGAAUAUUGGUCAAUGGGCGCGAGCCUGAACCAGCCAAGUCGCGUGAAGGAAGACUGCCCUAUGGGUUGUAAACCUCUUUUAUUCAGGAAUAAUAUGACUCACGAGUAGCUUUUUGCCUGUACCUAAUGAAUAAGCAUCGGCUAACUCCGUGCCAGCAGCCGCGGUAAUACGGAGGAUUCGAGCGUUAUCCGGAUUUAUUGUGUUUAAAGGGUGCGUAGGCGGGCUGUUAAGUUAGUUGGGAAAGUUUGGGGCUCAACCGCAAGAUUGCAAUUAAAACUGGCAGGCUUGAGUACAGAUGAGGUAGGCGGAAUAAGUGAAGUAGCGGUGAAAUGCUUAGAUAUGACGUAGAACUCCGAUAGCGAAGGCAGCUUACUAGGCUGCGACUGACGCUGAUGCACGAGAGUGUGGGUAGCGAACAGGAUUAGAUACCCGUGUAGUC
rnacentral:rRNA from 1 species